rnacentral:rRNA from 1 species
AUUGAACGCUGGCGGCAGGCCUAACACCUGCAAGUCGAACGAGUGGCGGACGGGUGAGUAAUGUCUGGGAAACUGCCUGAUGGAGGGGGAUAACUACUGGAAACGGUAGCUAAUACCGCAUACCAUCGGAUGUGCCCAGAUGGGAUUAGCUUGUGGGUGGGGUAACGGCUCACCACGGCGACGAUCCCUAGCUGGUCUGAGAGGAUGACCAGCCACACUGUAGCUGAGACACGGUCCAGACUCCUACGGGAGGCAGCAGUGGGGAAUAUUGCACAAUGGGCGCAAGCCUGAUGCAGCCAUGCCGCGUGUAUGAAGAAGGCCUUCGGGUUGUAAAGUACUUUCAGCGUGGAGGCGUUACCCGCAGAAGAAGCACCUGCUAGCGCCGUGCCAGCCGCCGCGGUAAUAC